GCGAAAUCUCCAGAACGAUAAGUAAGAGGAAGACAGAAUAAUUCCACACUGAAAUCCCUUUUCUUAGAUUUUGACUCUACAUUGAUUAUUUCGGUUCUUUCUNNNUUCUGGGGAAAAAUCUUUCUGAGUUUAAGAUUUUUAUUUAUUAUUUCUUUAGUUGGUUCGAAUUUUUUAGGAAAAAAAGAAACAUUCUUGAAAGUGCGGAGGCAUUCGGUUGCAUUUUGUGGGAGAGAUCUGGGAUUUACUUUCUUCAUUUCAAGGUUUUGGCAGAUUCUUGAUUUCCCUGCGGAUGGGGAACGGAUGAGCUUAGUUUUCUUCAAUUGCAAGAAUUGAAGAUUCAUUUCAUUCAUGGGCAGGAGUUUUUCUUUUGAGAGACGCC
rnacentral:misc_RNA from 1 species